CAGCGCCGCGGUAAUACGAAGGGUGCAAGCGUUAAUCGGAAUUACUGGGCGUAAAGCGUGCGUAGGCGGUGAGUUAAGUCUGCUGUGAAAUCCCCGGGCUCAACCUGGGAACUGCAUUUGAGACUGUAUGGCUAGAGUGUGUCAGAGGGGGGUAGAAUUCCACGUGUAGCAGUGAAAUGCGUAGAUAUGUGGAGGAAUACCGAUGGCGAAGGCAGCCCCCUGGGAUAACACUGACGCUCAUGCACGAAAGCGUGGGGAGCAAACAGGAUUAGAUACCCGCGUAGUCCCUGUCUCUUAUACC
rnacentral:rRNA from 1 species